CUUUUCUUACCAAACGAACGCAUAAAGCGGACUCGAAAAAAAUUACUGAAUGUCGUCGGUCGGUGAUUGCGCAUUCUCUCUGUGUGUGUUUUUCCCCCCCAUCCAACGAGUGUAAAGAAAUUUUUGGAACAAUUUAUAGCCGACACGCGUUGUAAUUGUAAUUGGAGAAUCUGUGGAAAUACGCCCGGCGUAUUCUGUGCAAUAUAUUUAAUUAAAAGAAGUGUAAAACCAGUUUAUUGAAGAUCGUAACAAGAUCGUGAAUCGGAGAAAUAUUCAUAGUGCAUUUAUUUGUGUGUCUAGUUCCGCCCGCCCCUCCACAUAUCAAUAAACAUAAACUGGAAGAUCUUUCCAGCCGCUGCUCCCAUCAUCUAAAGUAAGCGACGUCGACGUUGACGCCGACGCCCACGACUCCACUGAGAGAAGAAUGAUGCCAAAGCAGAGGACCAGCACGCUGACGGCGACGUUGUCGUUGCGUUGCAACGGUAAAUGUCUGAUGCUCUCCGCACUGCUGAUGGGCCUCCUGGUGGCCGCCACCCAAGCCGUUGAUCAGAAAACUGUGAAAGCAUCGGCUGCAGAGCCAUCCGCUCUAUCAGGAGGAGCAGCAUCCCCGGCGGCUUCGGGUCCCAGAGAUGCAAUUUAUAUCGACGAUGAUAGCAUUGAGGGCUCUGGCGGACAUGGAGGGAUACACGACGAUCUAGAGAAGGAUCCGGACUAUUCUGGCUCUGGCUUUGGACCGGAUGACGAGGACGCCGAGCCGGACCAUCGCCCGACACACGGUUCGCACAAUACACGCAUAUCGCAGAGUGGCGGCUCCAGCAUAAAUACAGCUCAUACACCAACCCAAACCUCAUCCACAACCUCAACAACAACAAGCAGUUCACCAGUAACGACAACCGGCAGCAGCAGCAGUACCACCACAAGCACCACGACAACAGCGGCCACAACUACUUCCACCACAGCCGCCACGAAUCGCACCCAAACCACGCCUAUGCCCAUUGUUCUCGAAUCCUCUACAGCGAGCCGUCCUUUGCCACACUUCCCUGCCUUCGAUGAGGAUGAAGAUCUCGAUGUGGAGGCGGAGGCCAGCGGCGAUGUCAUCGAUGUGGAAAGAGGCGGCGAGGGCGAUGACGAGGGCGAAGACGAAGACGAGGGCGACAUUAUCAUUGAUCAUCCCGAGCCCGAGAAGCCGAAGCUUGCAGAGCCCGUUCCCGCUGGGCCAAAGGAUAACGAUGGCGAUAUCGAUAGCGAAGAUGGUGAUGGUGGUAAUGACACUGAUGAUGAUGAUCGCAUCAUCGAUGUGGAUGGCGGCAAUGAGGAUAGAAAUGGAAAUGGAAUCGGUGGCAACGAUGGAGACCUCAACACAGAGCGCGGACCGGGAGGCGGCAGCAACGUGCACGAGUUGGACCCGAACACGAACGUGAACAGCCAGCCCUCCGACACGAAGCCCGUCGACCACAGGCCCAACGGCAACGAGGUGGUCAUCAUGAGCGAGGACGAUCGCACGUCGAGCUUCUUCUCGCAGCCAGGAAUACUGGCAGCUGUCAUUGGCGGUGCCGUGGUUGGCCUGCUCUGCGCCAUUCUCGUGGUAAUGUUCAUCGUGUACCGCAUGCGGAAAAAGGACGAGGGCUCCUAUGCCCUCGACGAGCCCAAGCGCUCGCCGGCCAACAAUUCCUAUGCGAAAAAUGCGAACAAUCGCGAGUUCUACGCCUGAGAUAAUGGCACAUCGCGCAGGUAUUAAGUGAGCCAUGAGUGAGGAUCCACCCGGAUGGAGAUCCAUCUCGAACGGGAUCAGGAUCAGAACGCAGAAGGAGAUGACGGCUCAUCUAGAUACACUGUGCGGAGUGUGAAGUGCAGACGGAGCAGCGACAUCAGCAGCCAUCUGACACAAUGAUUAAUCAUCUGCAACAGAAAAAGCGAAAGCAACAAAACUAACACAAAAUCAAUGGAAAUCGAAGACAUCUUCGGAUCACACACAAUUUUUCGUUGGGGGGUAAACGCAUUAAACGAUGAACAACCAAGUAAAAAGUGCAGAAAUUAAAGAGGAAAACAUAAACAAACAAAAUUCAAAACUUACCUGUAAGCUAAUGCCGGACGGAUAACGGAGGAGGGCGACUUUUCUAAUUAAGUAAACUUUAAGCGACGAAAACAAAAAGAAAACCAAUAUCAAAUAUGAAUGGAAACGCACGCAAAUCGUGCGAAAUCUAAUAUAUAAUUAAUAUAUAUUAUAUGCAUAGUGAAACCAAUAUAAGGGCGGGCAAAAUUAAGCGAAUUAAUUAUGAAUUACGAGUAUAUAGAGCAAAGGCAGGAGGAGAGCGAGAAAUAAUACCUAUAACAAUGCCACACCACACAACAGAGGCGCAUAUAAGCGACUGCAUGGACGAUGGACAGUUUGUUCUGUGGAUGGUGACAGAGACAGACGCAAACGCAUAUUGAAUACACAUUUAUGAAUAACGAGUAUAUGUUAGCUGAAUAAUGGAAGCGAUUUGGAUAUAUAACAAUUAUACACCCACACUUGAAAGAACCCCAAAUUUAAUGUUCACUUCCGCCAUCAAUUCACACCACGGAAAAAAGAACAAAAAAUAAUCCGUUGGGAAUAAUUAUAAUUGCGAAUUGUACGGCACAUAACAAGCGGAAAUCGAUGCAUAAAUAAAUGUUUUUAAGUUAUACAUAAGCAAAACUAUGUAAUUAUUAGUGUAAUUCCUAAAACAAAAACAAAAAACAAUACAAAAGGAAAAUGCAAAACAAAAAAAGAACUUAAAGAGAAAAACGAAAAUUACUAAAUGAAGCAAAACAAAAACAGAAUACGAACACUCUCUGAACCUUCCUGACAACUAAAGAAACUAAAAAGUAACGAAAUUCAGAGAACUAUUUCUACUUUUUUCUAGAAAACACACAAAAACUUGAAUAUUUAUUGAAAUUGAGAAUGAAAAUGAAAAACGAAAUCGAAAUCGAAAAGUAUAAAGGGACAUAAUACGUCUAGAAAGCGAUUGUACAUUAAUUUAGAAUUUCAUAUGGGUUUAAGAGUUAUUCGGCCAGUCCUCCUACGCUCGACUCCACUGCUUCUUCCAUGGCUAAGAAUCAAAAUCGGAUUACGCAUUGAUUUUAGUGCAUUUAUUUAGUUUUUACGUUCGCUGUCGAUGACAAUUGUUUAGUUUUGCAAGCAAAAUACAAGUGUGCGAAGUACGAAACACAACACAAUCCAAUCCAAUCCAAUACCCCAUGCAAUAGUAAAAAUUAAUUGUUAAGUUUACAAUUGAAUUGAAACGCAAUCCAGCAGGAAAUGUUAAUGACUCAGCCCUCAAAUUAGCUGCAAUACUUGUUUAAUUGUUAGUCAACCCAUAUUCUCUCCAGCUCUCAUGCCAUAUUUUCAUUGCGAAAAGAAGUUAUAAGAACGAAAAAAUACUAAUACAUAAUACAUCUAUAAACAAGUAUAUAUAAUUAGCAACAUAAAUCAAUUGUGUGUGUAAUUGUGUGUAAUGCAUAAAUAAUUAAUUAAACAUAUACAUACAUACUACUACGGCGACAACAGAGCGUGCACCAAAGGGGGAAGGAAGCUCUCGAAGAACAUCAUCAUCAUGGGUACAUACAUAUAUACAUAUGUAUUUACUCGUACUUCCCCCAAACCUAAACCUAAACCCAACUGAAACUCACACAAAAAAAAAAGAGAACAACAGCCACAGACACAGCCACAGCAGCAACAGCGACAACAAGAACUAAACAUUAUUCUGAAUACAACUUUUUCUACACUGUAAAAAACGCAACUGCAACUCUUUUGAUAUGUACGAGUACUAUGUUUUGUCCUACUCUCGACCCAUAGUACCUUUUUGUCAAAUUUUACAUCAAGUUAUUUUGCUACUUUGUAAGCGUUUAGUUUGUUAGUUUUUUUAAAUGCGCUGAAUGUACUGAGAAAUUGGUUUUGAUUUGCUAAAUAAACUGGUAUAAAACUAAUUUAAACAAAACAGAAUAUACUCUACUCUUUAUGUUUUAAGGCAAAUAAUAUACCACUAAUACAUACUCUAUUCUCUUCUUAACCAAAUAAAUUACGUAGCGAAGAUGAGAUAAUCUUGCAAAAAAUGUAGAUACCCCAUGACAACUCGACCCACAUACAUAUGUAUAUCCAAAUAUAUUUUCCUUGAGCUGCUUGAAAUCCAAUCAAUUGGAUAUCAUAGUAAGCGCUCAGAAAUACGUGCAGGAAUAUGGAUUAGAAUUCAUCAUUCAACAGAUUACAGCCCACUAGUCAGUCAACAAAAAAUUCAGAUCUAAAAAUUUACAAAAUUUAUAAAUUCCAAACAGGAAACUAAAUUUUUAAGUUAAUUUUUUGUAUAUUUUUUUUUUUGCCAAAGAAUCUUUUUCUCUAUUUUUCAAAUUCAAAUUUUCAAGUUAAAAUGUGUUUGUGUUGCGAUUGCGCGUCAUUCGAUUGUUGGCCCGAUAAAACGUGGUGUAUAUUCUUUGGAAUAUGGAACUCAAUCAUUGGCUUCAUCGGUAUGGUGUCAACAAGUAUGAUGUUGGACAAAGAAUUGUCCAAGCCAGUAUCGAAAGUGGACUUCGGUGAUCUUGGUGAACUUGGUUCCGCAGUGAGAGAAAAAUAUGGCCAGGAAUUUAGAAGCGAAACGACAGUUUGUGUCUAUGUUGUAAUACUUAUAUGUGUUAUAGUACACUUGUUGUCUGGGAUAUUCAUACUUUUGGGAUUGUUCUUGAACAUCAAAAUUUUGUUUUCAUUCGGGAAAGGCAUGAGCCAUGUUUUGCCAUGGGUUUGUAUUGGCUCGAUUAUUUUACCAAUUGUGCAACUCAUAUGCUUAUACAGGGUGUGCAGGUACUACAAAGAGAUGUGAUGGCAAAAUAUUAAAAAUUUCCCAACGCCCCAAUCCCGACAAAAAAAGUUAGAAUCGUUCAAACGUUUGGCUAUAUUCUGGUUACCUAUCUCCAUCGCCCUUAGAAAAAAGGCUUGCCGAUGUAUGACAAAAUUGCAGUAUUCAAAAAUUUCGCAGUAUAAAAUGUAGAUCAAAUAAAUUUUAAACUUAAUUGCGCCAA